GUGGGGAAUUUUGGACAAUGGGCGCAAGCCUGAUCCAGCAAUGCCGCGUGCAGGAAGAAGGCCUUCGGGUUGUAAACUGCUUUUGUACGGAACGAAACGGUCUGGGUUAAUACCUCGGGCUAAUGACGGUACCGUAAGAAUAAGCACCGGCUAACUACGUGCCAGCAGCCGCGGUAAUACGUAGGGUGCAAGCGUUAAUCGGAAUUACUGGGCGUAAAGCGUGCGCAGGCGGUUUUGUAAGACAGUCGUGAAAUCCCCGGGCUCAACCUGGGAAUUGCGAUUGUGACUGCAAAGCUGGAGUGCGGCAGAGGGGGAUGGAAUUCCGCGUGUAGCAGUGAAAUGCGUAGAUAUGCGGAGGAACAUCGAUGGCGAAGGCAAUCCCCUGGACCUGCACUGACGCUCAUGCACGAAAGCGUGGGGAGCAAACAGGAUUAGAUACCCUGGUAGUCCACGCCCUAAACGAUGUCAACUGGUUGUUGGGUCUCUUCUGACUCAGUAACGAAGCUAACGCGUGAAGUUGACCGCCUGGGGAGUACGGCCGCAAGGUUGAAACUCAAAUGAAUUGACGGA
rnacentral:rRNA from 1 species